rnacentral:rRNA from 1 species
CCACACCAUUCAACGAGUUGGAUAAACCUAAUACAUUGAGAGGUCGACAGCACUAUCUAGUACUACCCAUGCCAAUACUUUUCAAGCAAACGCCUAGUCCGACUAAGAGUAUCACUCAAUACCAAACCCGGGGGUUUGAGAGAGAAAUGACGCUCAAACAGGCAUGCCCUCUGGAAUACCAGAGGGCGCAAUGUGCGUUCAAAGAUUCGAUGAUUCACGAAAAUCUGCAAUUCAUAUUACUUAUCGCAUUUCGCUGCGUUCUUCAUCGAUGCGAGAACCAAGAGAUCCGUUGUUGAAAGUUUUGAAGAUUAAUUCAAAAUUUGACUAACUGUAAAAAUAAUUAAAUUGUGUUUUGUUAAACCUCUGGCCCAACCUAUCUCUAGGCCAAACCAAAGCAAGAGUUCUGUAUCAAAAAGACACUGUGUGUAAGGUUUUUCGCCGCGCAGUUAAGCGCUGGCAAAAGAAUACUGUAAU